AAAAUGCGAUAAGUAAUGUGAAUUGCAGAAUUCAGUGAAUCAUCGAAUCUUUGAACGCACAUUGCGCCCUUUGGUAUUCCUUAGGGCAUGCCUGUUCGAGCGUCAUUUGUAACCUCAAGCUCAGCUUGGUGUUGGGUGUCUGUCCCCGCCCCGCGCGGGGACUCGCCUCAAAAACAUUGGCGGCCGGUACGUUGGCUUCGAGCGCAGCAGAAACGCGAACUCGAGGCCCGACGGAUCGGCGACCAGAAGUCACUUCUUCCACAGCUUGACCUCGGAUCAGGUAGGGAUACCCGCUGAACUUAAGC
rnacentral:misc_RNA from 1 species